rnacentral:rRNA from 1 species
AGUGAACGCUGGCGGUAGGCCUAACACAUGCAAGUCGAACGGCAGCACAGUAAGAGCUUGCUCUUACGGGUGGCGAGUGGCGGACGGGUGAGGAAUACAUCGCAAUCUACUUUUUCUUGGGGGAUAACGUAGGGAAACUUACGCUAAUACCGCAUACGACCUACGGGUUAAAGCAGGAGAUCUUCGGACCUUGCGCGAUUGAAUGAGCCGAUGUCGGAUUAGCUAGUUGGCGGGGUAAAGGCCCACCAAGGCGACGAUGCGUAGCUGACCUGAGAGGAUGAUCAGCCACACUGGAACUGAGACACGGUCCAGACUCCUACGGGAGGCAGCAGUGGGGAAUAUUGGACAAUGGGCGCAAGCCUGAUCCAGCCAUACCGCGUGGGUGAAGAAGGCCUUCGGGUUGUAAAGCCCUUUUGUUGGGAAAGAAAAGCAGCAGGUGAAUACCCCGCUGUUCUGACGGUACCCAAAGAAUAAGCACCGGCUAACUUCGUG